GAUAAACGCUAGCGGCAGGCCUAACACAUGCAAGUUGAACGGGAUUAAGUAGCAAUACUUAUGAGAGUGGCGCACGGGUGAGUAACGCGUAUGCAACCUACCUCAAACAGGGGGAUAGCCCAGCGAAAGUUGGAUUAAUACCGCAUAAAAUUAAGAUAUGGCAUCAUGUUUUGAUUAAAACUAAGGUGGUUUGAGAUGGGCAUGCGUUCCAUUAGCUAGUUGGCGGGGUAAAGGCCCACCAAGGCUACGAUGGUUAGGGGUUCUGAGAGGAAGGUCCCCCACACUGGAACUGAGACACGGUCCAGACUCCUACGGGAGGCAGCAGUGAGGAAUAUUGGUCAAUGGGCGAGAGCCUGAACCAGCCAUGCCGCGUGAAGGAAGAAGGCCCUAAGGGUUGUAAACUUCUUUUGUACCAGGGUAACAGCCUUUACGUGUAGAGGUAUGAAAGUACGGUACGAAUAAGGAUCGGCUAACUCCGUGCCAGCAGCCGCGGUAA
rnacentral:rRNA from 1 species